rnacentral:sRNA from 1 species
UCAGGUCUGAAUGCUGGUGCUUUUUAUGCCUUGUCCACUCUUCUGAAUCGCAUGGUGAUCUGGCACUACCCGGGGGAAGAAGUGAAUGCUGGAAGAAUUGGCCUGACGAUCGUCAUUGCAGGAAUGCUUGGGGCUGUGAUCUCAGGAAUCUGGCUGGAUAGGUCCAAAACCUACAAGAAUCUGUGCCAUCCAAAUUGCUUGAUCCAGUGAAUCUGCUAGGAAAGGUCUCUGAGGCCCCCGUCUGCUGACUGCAUGACAAACCCUAAAGGAAAUGCCAAUCGUGAUG